CGUGAGACAGUACGGUCUCUAUCUACCAUGCCUGUAGGAAGCUUGAGAGGAGUUGGCCAUAGUACGAGAGGACCUGGCUGAACGAACCUCCUGUGUCCCAGUUGUCCCGCCAGGGGCAGCGCUGGGUAGCGGUGUUCGGUAGGGAUAAACGCUGAAAGCAUCUAAGCGUGAAACCCGCCUCAAAACUAGGCUUCCCCAGCCCGCAAGGGCUCUAAAGGACCCCGGAAGACUACCGGGUUGAUAGGCCGGAAGUGUAAGCGCCGCGAGGUGUUAAGCUAACCGGUACUAAUCGUCCGUGCGGCUUGGCCUUAUUCUUC
rnacentral:rRNA from 1 species